rnacentral:rRNA from 1 species
UGAGCAACCUGCCCCUGGCUCUGGGAUAACUCCGGGAAACCGGAGCUAAUACCGGAUACGAGACCGAUUGGCAUCUUUACGGUCUGGAAAGUUUUUCGGCCAGGGAUGGGCUCGCGGCCUAUCAGCUUGUUGGUGGGGUAACGGCCCACCAAGGCGACGACGGGUAGCCGGCCUGAGAGGGCGACCGGCCACACUGGGACUGAGACACGGUCCAGACUCCUACGGGAGGCA